AACGAACGUUAGCGGCGCGCCUAACACAUGCAAGUCGCACGAGAAAGGGCUUCGGCCCCGGUAAAGUGGCGCACGGGUGAGUAACACGUGGGUAACCUGCCCUCGAGCGGGGGAUAACAUUCCGAAAGGAGUGCUAAUACCGCAUAAGACCACGACCUCGAAAGAGGACGGGGUAAAAGCUGGCCUCUAUACAUAAGCUAGCACUUGAGGAUGGGCCCGCGGCGCAUCAGCUAGUUGGUGAGGUAAUGGCUCACCAAGGCUAAGACGCGU
rnacentral:rRNA from 1 species